GUGAAUCAUCGAAUCUUUGAACGCAAAUUGCACUCUCUGGUAUUCCGGAAAGUAUGCCUGUUUGAGGGUCAGUUAAUUUACAAUCGGAGUUGUUUCUGUCUUUCGUGUUGUCGCGUUGUUAUUGGGUCGUCUUUCUUUCGGUUAAGUGACUUACAUUUUUUGCAUGAUUUUCGUACGUAUUUAAAUCUCUUAUGUACUUUUGUGAUAACGAA
rnacentral:misc_RNA from 1 species